rnacentral:rRNA from 1 species
CCUACGGGAGGCAGCAGUAGGGAAUCUUCGGCAAUGGGGGGAACCCUGACCGAGCAACGCCGCGUGAGUGAAGAAGGUUUUCGGAUUGUAAAGCUCUGUUGUAAGAGAAGAACGUGUGUGAGAGUGGAAAGUUCACACAGUGACGGUAACUUACCAGAAAGGGACGGCUAACUACGUGCCAGCAGCCGCGGUAAUACGUAGGUCCCGAGCGUUGUCCGGAUUUAUUGGGCGUAAAGCGAGCGCAGGCGGGUUGAUAAGUCUGAAGUAAAAGGCUGUGGCUUAACCAUAGUAUGCUUUGGAAACUGUCAAACUUGAGUGCAGAAGGGGAGAGUGGAAUUCCAUGUGUAGCGGUGAAAUGCGUAGAUAUAUGGAGGAACACCGGUGGCGAAAGCGGCUCUCUGGUCUGUAACUGACGCUGAGGCUCGAAAGCGUGGGGAGCAAACAGGAUUAGAUACCCUGGUAGUCCACGCCGUAAACGAUGAGUGCUAGGUGUUGGGUCCUUUCCGGNACUCAGUGCCGUAGCUAACGCAUUAAGCACUCCGCCUGGGGAGUACGACCGCAAGGUUGAAACUCAAAUGAAUUGACGGGG